rnacentral:rRNA from 1 species
CGGGUGAGUAAUGCGUGACCAACCUGCCCCAUGCUCCAGAAUAGCUCUUGGAAACGGGUGGUAAUGCUGGAUGCUCCAACUUGACGCAUGUCUUGUUGGGAAAGUGUUUAGUGGCAUGGGAUGGUGUCGCGUCCUAUCAGCUUGUAGGCGGGGUAAUGGCCCACCUAGGCUUCGACGGGUAGCCGGCCUGAGAGGGCGGACGGCCACAUUGGGACUGAGAUACGGCCCAGACUCCUACGGGAGGCAGCAGUC